rnacentral:lncRNA from 1 species
GCAGCAGCAAGCGAGCCGUUUGCUGUCGUUUUUGUCUUUAAUCAUAAAUAAAGCGUAACAAUUGAAAAUAAAGGAAAAUCGGUGAAAUAAUAACGCAUAAUUUUUAAUGAAGAGAUAAAUUUUCAGAAAUCAUAAUUCAGUUGGAUUUUUGUGCAUCAGUGUCAACGAUUCAAACAACGAUUAAGAAGAUAGUAUAUUUUAGAUAUAUGAUAUUUGUGACUUCUACAUGUUAAAUUUUCUGAUUCAAGAAUAUUUUCAUAAAAAUUUAAGCCACGAGGAAAUUAAAGACAUCUUAUUGAAAAACCAUGGCAUAGUUACAUCCGUAACUACUGUAAAAAGAAGACUUUCAUCAUUAGGAUUAAAAAGAAAAUAUUAUAAAGAGUCUAGUACAGUUGACAUUGUAACUGCAAUAAUUGAAGAGUUAUAUUCAAGUGGAUAUAACCUAGGAUAUCCUUCAUUGUGGGCAAAAUUAAAAAAAAAACUAUAAUCUCACAGUGAAGAGAGAAACUGUUUAUCGCUUUUUAAAAAUAGCUGAUCCAGAAGGUGUGGCAAAUCGUUAUGGGAAUAAGCUACGUAGACGUGAAUAUUUAAGUCCAGGACCAAAUUUCUUAUGGCAUCUGGAUGGUUAUGACAAACUCAAACUGUUCGGGUUAUGUAUGGCCGUUUAGCGAGAUUUGACUUUCGCGCCGUAGCGCGUCAAUCGCUACGGCGAGAGCGGGCGAGCGCAUGCGCGCGCCGCCAGGGGCGUCUCCUUUUCACGCGGGAUUGGGGCUAGCGAGGGCGUGCCUGUCAGUUCUGACAGCUCCCCCCGAGGAACCGGUCGACUUUUGCAUUUUGCAAAUAACUUGCGUCUACACCUCUUGUAUUUGCGUGCAAUUAAAGUCAUCACUCACGUCCUUUUCAGGACGGUCGACUCUACUUGUAAUUCCGUGCGUCGCGUAUUGUGUGCGAAUUACGAGCGGUGUGCUGUGUGUGUGUGUGUGUUUUUCGUGUGUUGGGCCGUCGGCCACGUUCGAGUUUCCUCGGCGUGCCGAUCUCCACCCGGCGAUCGCUACCUACGCGGCAGGGCUGAAAAGGUCUGCCCGUGGUCCAGGAUAGGUUCCCUCGAGACGUCGAGGCGUCCUGCGACCGAGGAAGGUGCAUCCCACCCACGUGCGGUCAGGGCUUUACCUCGCGCCGCCCACAUUUCGUUCUGUGAACAAGAUAGGAGAGCUCUCCAGCGUGCGAAAGGUACCUCGCGGCGAAUUUAGCGUUUAGUCAUAAUUGCGUUUUUCUCUCUCUCUUUAUUUGGUUUAUCCUAGUCACUUUGCAUUGUAUAAUUUCAUUAUUUCUUCAAUAAAGCUAUUCGCUUGUCCCGGCUUUUCUCUCUUCUCCGUGAGAGUUUUUACGCCGAGGCAAGUCGUCUUUUUCCCGCGCAAUUCAUUGUGUGUUUUUUUUGCGUUUGAUUUAUGCACCUAACCUUCCCUCACUCAUUCCACCAUUUUUAGUUUAAACAUAUAUAUAUAGAACUCAGUAGCUUUUGUUCACAAACAAUUUGGCUUUGACAUACAUGGAUGUAUUGAUGGAUUUUCAAGAUACAUAUUGUGGUUAGAAGUAGCUACGACGAAUAAUGAUCCCAGAGUCACAGCUUAUUACUAUUUACAAACAGUCAAGACUUGCAAGAUCCUACCUACUAUUAUUAGAUCUGAUAAGGCACAGAGAAUGUGCUUAUUGAACGUCUUCAGUAAAGUCUACGGUCAAAUCAUGAUGAUGAGUUUGCUGGUAAUGCUAGUUUUAUAAAAGGAAAAAGUGUAAGUAACCAAAGGAUAUAAUCAUACUGGGGUCAGAUACGGGGGAAUAUUCAGCUGAUUUUUACAUACAACUGUUUAAGUGUAUGCAGUAAAAAAAUGAAUUUGACGGAAGUGGUUUGCAUAAGAAAUGCCUGCAGUAUUGUUUUGGUCCAUUAAUCAAAUAUGAUUUGAAGCUUACUAAGCAGCUAUGGAAUGAACAUAGAAUAAGAAAGCAAGCUGCAUGAAUAACGUUUCUGGAAAACCAUACGUAAUGUAUCAUUUGCCAGCACGUUUUAAUAAUUUGAAAAGCUUGUUAAGUUACUUUCACCUAAUGCUACGGUUGCUGCAACUCCUGAUGAGGCAUUAUCUUUAUAUAGGAAAAUGUUAAGUUUGAUAAAUGAAUUCAAGAAAGAUAAUCAAAUUUAGAAAAUUAAUCUACUCUUUAAAAUAUUACUGUAGGAAUGAGAAGUACUUGAGAGGCCACUUACGGACAAGGGAGGCUUGUACGAUAUGAUUGUUAAAUAAAUGAAGCAACAAGGGCAUGAAGAAGAAUUGUGCAGCUGGCUGAAAGAAUCAAACAUACCACAGAAGGCUGCAAUGGCAAAAGCAUGCAAUGGUCUCCGGCUAAAUCCAUUGAUAAAUACAACUGAGUCUGUUUUGACUGCAAAAUCUUAGGGAUAUUUUCUUCUUUUUGCAAAUUAAAUGCGACUUGAAAACAUGCAUGCAACUGAUAGUAGCCUAGUGUCAAUCAAUACCAAGCGAUGUUGUCAUCAACCAUUCGAGAAAGUUUUUUGAUUUCGUUUUAACUUUUGAAUAUGCAUACUAAAAUUACAUUGCUGACAAAUUUCUUAAAAUUCAUUUGCAUAUGUAAAGCCUCAUGUAGUUAAGAAAGCCUAUGAAAAAUUAGGAAAGGUUACCGAAACCUAUGUUAUUAAACAUGCAAAAGAAUGGGUACUUGGAGAAGGUGAAAAAAUAUUAAUAGUUAAUGAAUUUCCUAGAAGAUGUAUGACAAAAACUGUAAGUAAUCCAAUACUAUAGAAACGCAAUAACAACUGUCGUAUAAUUCUAUGUAUUGCUGAAUGUCACGAUCUUCCACCAAGAAUGUGGAUGCAUAUAAUAAAUGCCAAUCUAGAGCCACCAAAAAAAUGCAAAAAAAAA